rnacentral:rRNA from 2 species
CUGACGGAGCACGCCGCGUGAGUGAUGAAGGUUUUCGGAUCGUAAAGCUCUGUUGUUAGGGAAGAACAAGUGCCGUUCAAAUAGGGCGGCACCUUGACGGUACCUAACCAGAAAGCCACGGCUAACUACGUGCCAGCAGCCGCGGUAAUACGUAGGUGGCAAGCGUUGUCCGGAAUUAUUGGGCGUAAAGGGCUCGCAGGCGGUUUCUUAAGUCUGAUGUGAAAGCCCCCGGCUCAACCGGGGAGGGUCAUUGGAAACUGGGGAACUUGAGUGCAGAAGAGGAGAGUGGAAUUCCACGUGUAGCGGUGAAAUGCGUAGAGAUGUGGAGGAACACCAGUGGCGAAGGCGACUCUCUGGUCUGUAACUGACGCUGAGGAGCGAAAGCGUGGGGAGCGAACAGGAUUAGAUACCCUGGUAGUCCACGCCGUAAACGAUGAGUGCUAAGUGUUAGGGGGUUUCCGCCCCUUAGUGCUGCAGCUAACGCAUUAAGCACUCCGCCUGGGGAGUACGGUCGCAAGACUGAAACUCAAAGGAAUUGACGGGGGCCCGCACAAGCGGUGGAGCAUGUGGUUUAAUUCGAAGCAACGCGAAGAACCUUACCAGGUCUUGACAUCCUCUGACA